rnacentral:rRNA from 1 species
AGUGGCGCACGGGUGAGUAACACGUAGCUAACCUGCCUCAAAGAGGGGGAUAACCUUGCGAAAGCAGGGCUAAUACCGCAUAAGCUCCCGAACUGUAGAGGUUUGAGAGAAAAGGUGAGCCGCUUUGAGAUGGGGCUGCGGUCCAUCAGCUAGUUGGUGUGGUAAAGGCGCACCAAGGCGACGACGGAUAGGGGACCUGAGAGGGUGACCCCCCAACUGGGACUGAGACACGGCCCAGACUCCUACGGGAGCAGCAGUGAGGAAUAUUGGUCAAUGGGGCGCAAGCCUGAACCAGCGACGCCGCGUGGGUGACGAAGGGCCUUCGGGGUCGUAAAGGCCCUUUUCUGCGUGACGAGU